UGUCAGCGGACUGCUCGAGCU
rnacentral:snRNA from 1 species